rnacentral:rRNA from 1 species
AUGUCAUCACAAUACUCACAACUUUUUGUCGUGACAUCACUCCUAACUUUUUUUUUUGGUUCAAAUCAGGUUGUGCCUUGCAAUGAAAGGGACCGUUUCAACAAUGCGACAAGAGAGAAGGUGACGUUUGUGGCAAACCAACGGGCAUACACUGUAAAGUGUUACAAGGGUCGCAGAAAGAGCGCUAUGUAUGGGAGAGGUUGGAGGAAGUUCUAUGAAGACAACAAUCUGGGCAAGGGUCAGAUGGUGGUGUUCUACCUGGAUGAACCUUUGCCUACGGCAUCUAUUUUGUGGUUCCAGGUGGGCAACGGCUCGAAGCCAUUGAAGAUUCAGAUUUCAGGUAAUGAGGAUGGAGAAGCUUCAAGCGAUGAUAGUGAAGGCAUUGUUUGCACUAGGGGGCUUUUGCUUAAUGAGACAGAGGAUGCUCAGCUACAGGGGCUGCUGCCUCUCAGUGAUGGUUUCAUCGGGUUUGCUUUUGUUCACCGCCUCACAAGGACUGACAUUCGCUUGGGCAUGAUGAAAAUACCCAAGAAAGUUGCUGCUGCCACGCCGUUUGAAGAACAAGGGGUUGUUGGUAUUUCUGUGGAUGGUCGGAGAUUCAAAAAAAUCUCAUACAAAACUGCUGAUGAUGGCCGCAUUGUGUUUGGCAGGAAGAAGUGGGAAGACUUCGCAGCUAGCAGAGGACUCAAAGUCAACACAGCUGUUCUUAUUGGCUUCAAGAGCAGCGAGAGGGAUGAUGUCCAUGUCCUGGUUAUCUUGAAGAAGCUUGGCUAG